GUGGAAGUGAGAUAAAAUAUAGUUCCAAGACACUCCAAUAGGCAAGGCACCCUCAUUGUCCUUGAUGAACAGCUGCUAGAAUGACUUGAUCACAUUAUUACCUUAUUUAAAACUCUAGCUAGGCUUAUAAGCUCCAUUAUAACUGGAGUAUGCAUGCAUUUCCAGGAUUUUCUUUUCUAGAACCUUUCUCUUAUACAAAUUCUGCUUCCAGAAUGACUGAGGAAUUCUCAAACACUAACGUUGCCUAAGUGUGACCUACUGCUUCUGGAUUAUGUCUAUGCCUCUGGUUUCCCAGAUCUAUUGGCAUGGUGAAAUAUACCUACGCAUUGGGACCAUCUCUUCUGCAAAGCCUUUUCAGCUAUCCCUGAUCUCUAGAAUUGAGGACUCCUUCAAUGCUUUCAAUGCACCCAGACAACUAACUUACUUAAUUGCUCUUAUUGACUAUAUGCUCAUUGUCCUUUACUACAUUAUAACCUCCUUGACAUUAGGGACUAAGUUUGUAUCCCAAGACAUAGCAAUUAGUAGGCAUUAGAGAAAUGUUGGCUGAAAAAAUGAAGGGAACUGCAUCUAUCACCUUUCAGAUGACAAUUCGAUGGUAAUAUCCCUUAAUGGUUUUCACUUUACACAGAAGAACAAUCAAGGUCUUGCCUGCAGACACCGCAGAAACUAUAUGUGCCUCUACAUAAAGCUGAUGCUCAGAAAGGACUGAAAAUAAUUGCUGGACGCAGAGAUACAACUAACAGAGAAAAGUACUUCUUAGUACACACUGGGGGAGAUAAGUGCCUCUUCGUGUGAAGGUAAUACUCUUUGGGGUGUUACAGGAUGAAUAAUAGCCAAAGUCAACGCUUUCAAUAGAGAAGAAUGUGCCUUUUAGCAGCGGAAGAAACAAGAUCCUCAUUUGCUGACUAGUGAUAUAUGACAGACAGAAGCUGCCUAAGGUCUUACAGGUUUGCCUGGCUUCAAACUCCAACUUCCUCCCAUAUGCUAUAGAAGUGACCACAAAAGUACAUAGUAAAAGCCACAUUUUUUAUCUAGGGCCUACCACAUGACAAAUUCUAUUCUAUAUUAUCCCUAAUCCUCACAAAGACACUGUAAAGUUGUUAUUUCUGAUCUUCUGCCUAGUAGUUGAGGAAACUAAUGAUAAAAUGUCUGGAACUCCCAUGUUUAAGUUAAUUGCCUCUAAAUCCCUUCAUUUUACCAAUGUUUGUCUUAUUUCAUUCUAAACUCAUUUUACCCUUUUCAGCUUUGCUAUGGUAGUCUGAAAUGAUCCCAGUUCCCCUCUUGUCUAUAUCCAUGGUCCUUUGGAUUGUGGCUUCCCAAUCAAAAUAUAGAGUCUUUUUCUCCCUUUUUAUGUCUGGGAUUGGCUAUGUGACUUACUUUGGCCAAUGAGACAUAACAAACAUGAUACAAGCAGAGUCUUGAAAAAUACUUGAUCUUUGGGACUUGUCUGCCUAUUGUUGGGAAUCCUGUCAUAAUGAGAAUGAGCCUGUGCUAGACUGCUUCCUGAUGACAGCCAUACGGCCAUCAUCCCAGAUGACAUUAAGGUGACUAUCAAGCAUGUGACUGAGUUCCUUCCCCUAUAAAACCAACCAACUUGCUAGCUCCUAAACAUCUAACUUCUAACAUCUAACAGCCAAGUUAGCACACACACAACUCAAGUAAGUGUGCGAACUAUAAUAAAUGUUUCCUGUUUUAAACUACUACAUUUUGGAGUGUA